ACUACGGGGGGCAGCAGUGGGGAAUAUUGCACAAUGGGGGGAACCCUGAUGCAGCGACGCCGCGUGAGUGAAGAAGUAUUUCGGUAUGUAAAGCUCUAUCAGCAGGGAAGAAAAUGACGGUACCUGACUAAGAAGCCCCGGCUAACUACGUGCCAGCAGCCGCGGUAAUACGUAGGGGGCAAGCGUUAUCCGGAUUUACUGGGUGUAAAGGGAGCGCAGACGGCUGUGCAAGUCUGGAGUGAAAGGCGGGGGCCCAACCCCCGGACUGCUCUGGAAACUGUAAAGCUGGAGUGCAGGAGAGGUAAGCGGAAUUCCUAGUGUAGCGGUGAAAUGCGUAGAGAUUAGGAGGAACACCAGUGGCGAAGGCGGCUUACUGGACUGCAACUGACGUUGAGGCUCGAAAGCGUGGGGAGCAAACAGGAUUAGAUACCCCAGUAGUC
rnacentral:rRNA from 1 species